rnacentral:rRNA from 1 species
AUGGCAGAUCCAAUUACCCUUAAUGCUGCUGUAGGAUGGGGCGUAUCUGCAGUAGGUUGGCUCGCCUCACCCAUCAUUUCUAGGCUCCUCAACAAAGCUUUCACCCUCCUUGACUUUAACCCGACGGAGAAGCUGAAGAUAGUUGAUAUACAAGUUCAGCAACUGCAGAGGGUGAUGGAAGUAGUCGACGAGAGCACUUACAAAUUUCGUUUGGAGCCGCUUUUAGACAAGCUUAAAUCUGCUCUCUAUGAAGCCGAAGACAUCUUGGAUAGUGUCGAGUACGAGCACCUCAAGAAGCAGAUCCAAGAUGGCAAGUCAGAUGGCAGUAAGAUGGAUUUGCUAAAGAAGAAUGUUCGGUCUGCCAUGCCGAGCUCCCCCCUAAAAGAUAAGGUGACUGGUAUGUCAAAAGUGGAGUUGAAGAAGAGCCUGGAGAAGAUAGAAAGUGCUAUAAAUGAUGCAUGUGAAAUUUUGAAACAGCUGAACUUGCCAUGUGUAAGUAAUGAUAAGGGGAGACAAGCUGUUCCUACCAAUGCACGUAGUGCAGGCAUCAGUCCUCCAGUACGUGUAAUUGGUCGAGAUAAGGAUCUUCACAAGAUCAUAGCAAUGCUUCAUGAGAAGGAAGACCAGUGCCAAGCAGACACUGUCAGCGAUACAUGUUAUUCUGUGAUUGGCAUUCAUGGCAUCGCCGGGUCUGGCAAAUCAACACUUGCACGUUGUGUUUAUGAUCAGGAGAAAAAGCAGAAGCAAGAGAAUAUGGAUGGUCAUUUCGAGAUUGUCAUGUGGGUUCAUGUUUCUCAGAAAUUUGAGUUGGAUUCCAUUUUCAGGGACAUGUUUGAGGGGGCUACACGGGAAGUCUGCCCGGAUUUUAAUCGUCUUCAUGCCUUAAAAGAAAAUCUAGAGGAAAAACUGUGUGGAAAACGGAUUUUGUUGAUAUUGGAUGAUGUCUGGUACAACAGUAGGAAUUCGGAAGACCAUGAAGAACUACAAAAGUUAAUUUCUCCGCUGAAUGUUGGGAAGGCAGGAAGCAGAAUCUUGGUGACUAGUCGAACUGAAGAUGCAUUAUUAGCUCUGGGUGCUGCUCAAGAGAGAUGUAUUCCAAUAUCUGACCUGGAUGAUGAAGUGUUCCUCGAAAUGUUCAUGUAUUAUGCACUUGGAGAUGCAAGGGUAGGUGGCCAUGAUCGAAGAGAACUUGAAACGAUUGGAGAGGACAUUGCAAAAAAGCUUAAGAGAUCACCUCUAGCAGCCAGAACAGUAGGUGCACGGCUGCGUAAAAACCUGAAAGUCGAGAUUUGGAUGAGGGAGAAGGAUAGGGACCUUCUGAAAGAGACAAUGGGUUUCCAAGACGGCAUCAGUUGA